rnacentral:rRNA from 7 species
CUAACUGGAGGACCGAACCGACUAAUGUUGAAAAAUUAGCGGAUGACUUGUGGCUGGGGGUGAAAGGCCAAUCAAACCGGGAGAUAGCUGGUUCUCCCCGAAAGCUAUUUAGGUAGCGCCUCGUGAAUUCAUCUUCGGGGGUAGAGCACUGUUUCGGCUAGGGGGUCAUCCCGACUUACCAACCCGAUGCAAACUACGAAUACCGAAGAAUGUUAUCACGGGAGACACACGGCGGGUGCUAACGUCCGUCGUGAA